rnacentral:rRNA from 1 species
CAAGACAACUUUACGGAGUUGACGAUUGACGGAGCGAAGCGACGUCAAAGCGUUCAUUAAAGUCGAGUUGGCUUAGGGAUACGUUCGUUGGGUAGGGGAGCGUUCUGUAAGCCUGUGAAGGUGUGUCGUGAGGCAUGCUGGAGGUAUCAGAAGUGCGAAUGCUGACAUAAGUAACGAUAAAGCGGGUGAAAAGCCCGCUCGCCGGAAGACCAAGGGUUCCUGUCCAACGUUAAUCGGGGCAGGGUGAGUCGACCCCUAAGGCGAGGCCGAAAGGCGUAGUCGAUGGGAAACGGGUUAAUAUUCCCGUACUUGGUGUUACUGCGAAGGGGGGACGGAGAAGGCUAUGUUGGCCGGGCGACGGUUGUCCCGGUUUAAGCGUGUAGGUGUGUGUUCCAGGUAAAUCCGGUUCACUUUAACACUGAGGCGUGACGACGAGGCACUACGGUGCUGAAGCAACAAAUGCCCUGCUUCCAGGAAAAGCCUCUAAGCAUCAGGUAACAUCAAAUCGUACCCCAAACCGACACAGGUGGUCAGGUAGAGAAUACCAAGGCGCUUGAGAGAACUCGGGUGAAGGAACUAGGCAAAAUGGUGCCGUAACUUCGGGAGAAGGCACGCUGACAC